rnacentral:misc_RNA from 1 species
AGCUUGAUUUGUGGGCAUAGACUUUGAUCGUUUCAUCCAAGCAGAUGACGAUGACGACUUUGCCCGAUGAAAUCUGCACCUAAACGAUCCUUCAUGCGUCGUCGGCGAACACAGGCAUUGGCCUUUUGGUGAGCUCGACCCCGCCGUGGCUCCUUCUCCGUUGGCGCCGCCUUUCGGAGAGGUAGAAACAGCGACGCUACUAUGGGACGCCAUAUGUUUAUCAAAAAUUAAGGAAAGUGGAAAUGGGCAACAUUUGAACUCGGCGUGAAGCUAUAUAUACAGAGAGC